rnacentral:lncRNA from 1 species
AUAUACUAGUAGUAAAUGAAAUAGUUGACAAUCAACACUCGAGAACAAAGAAAGUGUCAGUCAAGUCAUGUUUUGAUGAUAUAAAAAGAGAUCUCCCACAUGCAAAAACUGUAAUAGAAAAGGUGAAAAUAUUUGAGAGGUUGUUAGGUUUCAGGCAGUGUAAGCGCUCUUUGCGCCUCUGUCCAGCUUCUUCGCAUCCUCCUGAAGAGAAACCAAACCAAUACACACAAUACAACAAGUAGUGAGCGAUCCAAAGAAGAAAAAAAAACAGAAAUUAGCAACAACUGAAACACUCUACUCUUACAUGGAUGAUGAAACCAAUGCUGCUGUUGUAAUCAAGAAACUCCUUCCAUUGUCUCCCAAUGCUCACCUGUAACAUUAAAUAAAAUUAAAUUUCCACGUCCUUUUUUCAGACCGAGAGAGAUACACAGUUCGAUGGGGGUUCUUUUUUUGUCUUGUACCUGAGCAGCUUCGUUGGAAGAGUUUUUAGUCCAAAUAGAUAUCCUUUCUUGCUUAGCUCUAACGUUAACAACAACUCCACAGAUUUCAUCUCCAUGGUCAAACUGUUCUCCAAUCAAAGCAAGCAACUAUAAGUGACAACAACAACAACAACCCGAUUAGACUGGAGACUGGAUGGUGUGAAACAAGAACUAUAUGAAUGUCAAGUUACAUACGGUGUAAAGAAAGGGCUUAUCAGACUUCUCCCUAGAGAAGUUCAUAGUCCACUUGCCUCCGUUGGCACAGAUAGGAUCCUCCCACUUAGGUUCAAUAUUGUGUUUGAAAUAGUACAAGUCAGCUCCGUUAGCUAACUUGCUCGGAUGCCGAAUGUUAUUGUACAAACUGCAAUGUCACAUAUAAUAAGAAGCCAAUAAAAUAGCAUCCAACAAGUAACUGUUUGUUCAAACACCAAACAGGCAAUUCUUCAUAGACAGAGAAGAACAGUGACUUCAUGAGAUUUAAACCCACCCAUAAAGAAGAUAACUUUCCUGUGAGAAAUCGAAAUCUAAACAAAACCCAGAUUGUGGAAUUACAUUAAGAAGGAAAAAGAUUGUUGUAAAGCUACCAACCUCCAGAACUCCUCGACGGUGGAGAAGGUGAAGACGGAUCGUAAGGAGCUUCCCCAAGUCGUCUGCUUUGAUUUGACGGAAGGGUUAUCGAACCAGAGAGUCCACGAAUGCUCCAACGGAUGCGAUUCAGGGACGGCGGAUUUGCCCGAUUCGUCUACGAUCGCUCCUUCCUCGGCAUCGUCGCCUUCCUCAUGGUAUCGAUCGAUCGGGUGAUCUACAGAAUUGGGAUUCGAUUCUUCCGUAGGGACGUUAGGCUUGAGAGUGUCUUCUACCGCCAUCGUCUCUCCCUCUCCGUCUUCUCUUCUCCGAACGAUGUAACUUCUUCUUGUAAAGGGGUUGGUCAAGAUACGACGUCGUUUUCUUCGCUUAACAUUCUCAUAUGCAUAUUGGGCUAACAAUCUCUUAAUAGGCCUUUUUAAAUUGGGCUUUCACUUGUUCGGGUUUGGUCAAGAUACCAUUUUUUUGUUCUAAUUUAUUUAUUCGCAGAGACUUUACGUUACACUGAUAAAUCCAACGGGUCUUGGAGUUGUGCAAUCUGAAAAAGUUGAAUUCAUUCCGGCUAAACUCUAAUAAGAUAAUUGCAGACCAAAAAGGCUAAAUCUUUGAGAUAAACUGAACUGCAAUAGUUUAGGAACCGGUCUUAAAAUAGUCUGCCUAAAACCAAAACUCAUGUUUUGUUGAUUGCAAACACAAACAAUAAACAAAAUCGUCUUACAAAAGGGAAAUGCAACAAACCAAAAAAAAAUAACCAAGUAAAAUCCCAAAUGGCUUGAUUGUUACUUCACUCGUCUUCUUGGCUACGGAGCCUAGCAAGCCUGUUGGUAACUACAAUAUCCAACUGAGAAGCUCUCUCCACAAUAGCCUUCCUCUUCUUGGUCGAAACGUUGUGAGCAAUCUCAGCGCAGUAGGUCCUGUUGUGCAUCAUCAACAACUCGAGGUCACUCGUGUUGUGCACAACGAACUUCUUGAAUCCAUUGGGGAGAUAGUGACGAGUCUUCUUGUCUGAUCCGUAACCCACAUUGGGCAUCAAUGUCACACCCUUGAACUUUCUUCUAACCCUUGAGUCAAUACCCUUUGGCCUCCUCCAGCUCUCCUGAAAAAAUCAGACAAACAAUGUGUUCACAGAGACAAUAACCAAAACAAAAGAUUAAAGACAAAAAAAAUAUGUUUUGUCCUAAAGAUGCAAACCUCUCUUGAUACUCAAGUCAGCCACCAUAUUUCAUCAGAGACAAGUUAAUUAUCGUAACGUUUCUACAGAUAGAGAAUGGUCCACUAAAAGGAACAAGUAAUGGUUCUGUAAGAUCGAACGGAGAAAGUGGUUACCUUGACGGUGAUUCUACGGUCGCUCUGGGGUCUGAUGAACUUGGCAGACCUCUUCUUCACCACCUUCUUCGUAAGCAACGGGACCGCCAUUUUCUUUUCUUUUUUUGCUGCUUCCUAAGGUUGAUCUCAAUGCGACGGGAGACUCUGAAAACAGCAGCUAGAAACCUAAAAUGCGUUUUAAAGGAGAUAACUAGGGUUUCCUAUGACACAAGAUAAUGGGCUUUGUUUUUGGCCCAAUAAAAUAUUUGUUUUGGGCCUACAUUACCCUGUAACCUAAUAUGUAGAUUUUUGCUUUCUUCUUUCUUGGAAUUUAAUAUCUUACACAUGUAAUAAAAUGAGUUCCAUUUUAUGUAAUAGACUAAUAGUUAUUGGGUAUUAUUAUAUCUACUGGUAAGAUGUCAAACCGGCAUGAAUGGCUCGAGUACAAAAAAUAAAAUGGCUCCCAAAUGAGCUAGACGGACCUAAUUUUAUCUGGAACAAAAAAAGCGGGCUGGACCUUGAUUAACAAUUAAAAGUUGUAAAUUUUGUUGAUGACUCUCUCACUAAAAUUCUCUCCCCUUUUACCAAAAAAAAAACUUCUCUCCCAAAUCUCCCAAAUGUACCAAUGAUUUUGUUUCCUUAGAUUGGUUAAUGUAAAUAUGUUGACAAUUUAUCUAUUUAAAAAAAAAAUAUAUAUGUUGACAAUUUAUCUAUUUUAAUAGAUAAGAUGUAUCGACAAGCUUAUUUAAUUAUAAAUAUGUUGACAAUCUAUACAUUUUAAUGUAAUAAUUAUUUACUAUUUUUAAUAUAAAACUAUGUAGAGAUCCGCAGAAUGAGAAAGCUUAUACAAAAAUUUAUGUUACAUAAUACUAGUAAAUAUAUGUCUUAUAUUUAUUGUUACAAUAUAAAGUUCGGUGUUUAGGAAAUGUAUUUGGGCUGAAUUUUUCUGAUUCAAUUUGGUAAAUUUUCGAGCAAAUCGAACUAACCAAGACUGAGGCUUCGAAUGUUACAAACCGACCCGUCCCGCACUGCAGUUAACAGUAACAAAAAUCUCUACAUAUACCAUAUAUCUAUACGUUUUUAUAACUGUUAAAACCGCACCGCAGUUAAACCGUUUGUCUCACACCGCUCAAACCGCAGUUACCAUUCGGAAGUAAACCUAAACGAACUGAACCCACAUGCCUACUUGUUGAAAUUUAAAAUAUUUCACUAUUUUUGGAUUUUUUUGCUUCUAGUUCGGGUUGUACCCUACCCCGAAAGCACCAAGCUCUUAAGUCCCGUUCAGAUAUUUUUGUAUAAUAUGGGGUUUUAUUUUCGGUUAAGGUUGGAAGCUUCGGUUUGGGGUAAAAACGCGUAGGCCUAGUCAGAAUCAAGAAAUGAAAACAUGAACAUACCCCACAUCCAGUGUCCAAUGCAGUUCUAACAGAACCAUCUUUGAUUGGGAUAACAGAAGCCAGCUCAUCGAUAUAAGCAUCAGCACCUUGAGGGAACAUAGUACCUCCACCAGGGAACUUAAACACACUCCCUUGAAACUGAACCCAGUUCUGACCAGCCUUCUCCACAGUCAAGCUCUUGAAAGGAGCAUUAGCGUAAUGAACAUAGUCUCUGCUCUUAGGCCAAGGGAAAGGAGUCAUGUAACCCUUAGGAGCCGGGACAAGACAGCGGAGCUUCUCAUUCUCAGGAGGACAAUGUCUCUCUCUGUAGAUCAUGUUCUCUCUCGGGAACUUCAUGGCCCGGUCUUGCUCUUGACAAGGGGUGUAGUCCUUGAGCUUCACAUCACAUGGCUUGAAUGAAACUGGUUUUGGAUCAGCUAAUCUUUCAGGGAUCUUGACUGUGUUGUGAUGAGGUUUGAAGUCAAGGUCGGUGACGACGUCGGUGCAUUGAGCUUGCUUUGUUAUCUCCAUCGCUAUGCUGUCUCCUUUACCGAACCCACUCUUUUGCCAUGCUCCGAGAAGGUAGAAGAAACAGCAUAGACCAACCACAAGGAUUAGAGAUAGUGAACUUCUCGAUCUCGGUGGAUUAUUCUUAGAACCCAUUGAAACUCUCUCCUGAAGCAUUUAUAACAAAUCUCAGUAAAAACACACUCUACGAUGAGCUAACAAUGAUCAAGAUCUAAAAAAACUAGACUUUAUCAAUUUAAAGAGUCUAACUUUAGCAACUGGAAUCAAAAACCCAGAAAGGAUCUAGUUGAAAAAGAUGAGCUUUUAGAGUUACCUGGUUGAUGUAGAUCUUCUUGUUGCAGAGAGAGACUCCAAAUCUAUGAACCCUUAUUCAGAUCUCUGGUUUUUAGCUCUGUUUCAGUGAUGAGCUUGCAGAAAGUAUAAAGCUUUGAGUGUGACAGAGAGAGAAAGUCACUAAACUAAUGAUGUCUUCUUCCUCUUUCACUAAUCGAGAUUUGAUGAAGGCGCGUUCUAUUUAAUUAAUUUGAAAAAAAAUGUGUUUACGAAAAUGAUUGAAUUAAAUGCGUGUAAGAUCUCAACAAUAUUAUUACAAUAGUCAUAGAUUUAGAUCUGGUCUUGCACAUGCAUCCAUAUGUUUUUUUUUUUUUUCAAACCCUUUUGUGCGUUUGUUUAUGUAAAGGAUCUUUAAAAUAUUUUAACUGGUUUCACCAUUAUUGGAAUUAAAAAAACACUUGAAGUUUGUACAUAACAUACCUUUUUCUUUAUAUUAAACAAGAUCGAAACCAUAUUGUUAAACUUUUGCAUAAAACACCGUAGGUUUGAACCGCGUAAUCUUAAUAUUCUGCAAUUAAAAAAAGGCUUGCGAGUCAAGAUCUUGUCGUCCCAAGUGGUCCUUUUAAGACAGUUGACGAUUCUCCAUUUCUCCUUAGUUUAGAUCUCCUACCGACACUCACAUCUUACUUAACCGGCCACCGUCAAAAACCGAGUUAAAUCGGUUCAAUGCUAAACAAUAUUUAUUGGAAGGUCUAGCUAGUCUUUGAAAAUAUACGAGUCGACAUGUCGAAAGUUUCAUAAAUCGUUAAAAAAGGUCGAUAGACCCAUAAAAAAUCUUUGAUUUAAUACUAUAAUAAUCAUGUUCAAUCUUAAAGAAACCGGUACAACAUCGCGGUUAGUCAUGAAUCGCCGAAAAGACCAAUGUACAUGGACCCUUGACAACUAAACAAUUUAAUGUAUGAAAAGAUUACAGGCUUUUAAGGCCCAACUUUUCUUGAAAUAUUUAUCAGUUUUUUUAUCAAUUGAACUUGUGUUUGAACUUUGAACAAGUGGGUUUUAUAAUUUGUUCUUGAUGUGUCUAGAGAUGGAACACAAGGCACUACAAAUAAAUUUAGGAAGAACAUACUAAGUAAUUAAUAUACUAGUAGUAAAUGAAAUAGUUGACAAUCAACACUCGAGAACAAAGAAAGUGUCAGUCAAGUCAUGUUUUGAUGAUAUAAAAAGAGAUCUCCCACAUGCAAAAACUGUAAUAGAAAAGGUGAAAAUAUUUGAGAGGUUGUUAGGUUUCAGGCAGUGUAAGCGCUCUUUGCGCCUCUGUCCAGCUUCUUCGCAUCCUCCUGAAGAGAAACCAAACCAAUACACACAAUACAACAAGUAGUGAGCGAUCCAAAGAAGAAAAAAAAACAGAAAUUAGCAACAACUGAAACACUCU